rnacentral:lncRNA from 1 species
UUGCAGUGAUAUUGUACCUACUAAAUUAAAUGGUGGACCAGAGAGCCAGUGUGGCAUGAUGAAAAGCAGAGUCUCCGGAGAUGUGAUACUUGGGUCCACAUGCUGGCACCACCACUUGAGGCAGAUGACCUGGCCUCGGGGGUCUCUGUUUCCUUGUCUGUAAUGCCUACUUCAUAGUUUUGUUAUGAGAAUGAAGUGGAUUAAUACUUCCGUGGUGCUUCACACUGUGCCUGGAACAUAGUAAGCCUGACAACACCUGAGCGACCAUCUGGAGCCCACACAUCCUCAACAGAUCACACUGCUGCUUGGCCACUGCUCUCCACCCUCUUCUGAGGCUGCUGCUUAUACCACAGUGUUGAUGGCCUCCUCUCUGCUCCCCAGAGCAGAUGCUCCCACCAACACUGCUGCUCUUGGGCAUCAGAUAGGUUCUGCGAGCUUCACCAUUGUCAGAAGGCCCAGAUGGCUCCGGGAGGUCCCAUGGAUGCUCAGCCCAAACCAGGAGUUUUCUCACACUCCAUGCAAGUGAGUUGGCGCAGAUAGACGUGCGGAAAUUGGAAUCUAACUCCACAUAAACCAGUUAUGUAUACGGGAAGUCCUUAUUUUGCAUAGUAAUGCAAGACCAUAAAAAUGACUGUGUAAGCUGAAACCCUGCAAAGCAAUCUUAAUCGAAGGGAAUAAUUACAGUUGUUCUGUGACCUUUAAACAUUUUUGUCAAAACAUUAAACAUUCUCUUACUGUUGUU